rnacentral:sRNA from 1 species
CCCUAGCCCCAAUAGCAGUGGAAAUCCUUUUGUGCCGGGGUUAGGCAGAAAAGAUUGCAACGGAUAGCGGCAAAAAGC